CAGCCACCAGGCCAAACCAACGGCAACGCCAGCAGCAGCAGCAGCCGCAGCAAUAGCACGUGCCCCGCCAGCGUCAACAAACAACAUCCAACAUCUUUACGACUCACAGAUAAAUACCAUAACAAACGCAACAAAUGCCAAAGAAAACAGAGCGCUGAAAUAAGAAACACACAAAG